rnacentral:tRNA from 1 species
CAUAGUGUAGCAGUUAACACGUCUGCCUUACACUCAGAAGGUCCUGGGUUCGUGUCCCAGUG